GUGGAAAUGUGAAUGAAAACAAAACUGACACAGACUAAAAUUAUCUUGUCUUUUGAUUCCGUCAUUUAUCCAGAAACUAAAAUUGGCAUUAUUUGAAUGUGCGUGGCAACUCAAAUCCAUUUCACUCUCAUGUGGUUUGGAAAGGCCCAGAACUACAUUUUUUUAAAAAAUAUUUAAAUGUCACAAUAUGGUCUUUUCACUGAUCACUUGCAGUUAUUUAUUGCUGUACAUAUUUUGCUUUGCUUUUUGGUUUUAGGGAAACACUGGUCCUUUUGGUAUUGAAGGCAUGAUAGGCCCAGCUGGCAAGCCUGGACCCAGGGGUGAAAAAGGAGCCAGGGGUGAAAUUGGCCCUCAAGGACCACGAGGUCAUCCAGGUCUACCUGUAAGCAAAUUCAAAGUUAUUUUAAAAUAAUUGUGACUAUAUAAAACUAGACUUAUAUCUCAUUUAUCUCCCCCCCACCCGCCCUCUGUUUUUCAGGGUCCACCAGGAGCACCUGGUCCAAGAGUAAGUACCAUGUUUUCCUAUCAUGGUUUUAGAAGUGGGUAAUAAAAUUCAGAGUUACAUAACA
rnacentral:lncRNA from 1 species